AGGAGGAGGAGGGGGACGGCGGCGACUUCAUUUCCGGCGGCGGGAGUCCAUGCCCACAGUGCGGGAAGGAGGCGCGGCGGCUGCAGGCACUGCACGAGGCCAUCCUGUCGAUCCGGGAGGCCCAGCAGGAGCUGCACAGGCACCUCUCAGCCAUGCUGAGCUCCACGGCAAGGGCCAGGCAGGUGCCGGCGCCAGGCCUCCUGCAGAACCCCCGCUCCUGGUUCCUGCUCUGUGUGUUCCUGGCGUGUCAGCUGCUCAUUAACUUCAUUCUCAAAUGAGAGCCCUUUGGGGGCAGCGUGGGCGUCCAGGCCCACCUCUCCCUCCCAGGCACCUAGCACUUUCAGCCAGCCCGCGGAGGCAGAGAGAGAUGGCGAGCGUGGCCACUGUGGACAGAGGGGCCCACGGCAGCAGGAGGAUAGUAGGAGGGACCUGGGGGGCCACACCGGCUCCUCCAGGGGAGGUGCUGACCUUCCCUGUGGGACCCUCCACCCAGUGCCGGCCUUAAUGCUAAAGCCAAGUGCAGCUUUUGUCAUGCCUCUCGCCCCCUGGUCAACUUGCCUGCUCGUUCCCGGUCCAGCAUCCACUUGUCCCGUGGGAGUGUCGGAGGCAGGGGCGGACUGCCUGCCCAGGCAUUGCGCGGUCACUCCCCAGCCGGGGUGAGUGGGGAGCGUUGGGGGAGCAAGCCGCGAGUCCCAGAGGUUCCCGGAGCCUCCUCUGUCCUGAUGCACAGGGCUGUCCAUCCUGAGAGCCUGCCCACGCUGCCCGGGUCACGCUAAGAGGGGCCUCCCUCGGACUCUAGGGUAGACUGGAGCUACUGCGGAGGGAACAUUUGGAUUUUACUCUGCUUCUGUGCUGGGUGGACGGGACCCCCACGAUACACCAAUGGAACCCACCCUCACUUGCACAGCCUGGGCGUGCCAAGGGGAGCGGGCACAGCUGUACCUGGGCACAGCUGUGCGUGCGAGGGCAGGGGUGCGCAGGGGGCGGCCGCACGGGCCCCAGCACUCCCUGGGACGGGGAAGCCCAGGUUUGCCACUUUGCUGGGACUGAUGCACGGUCCUCCCGUUUUACACUUUUUUAAUAAACGCAAUUGCAAUAUCGUAGGCAGGCUGCAAGCAGCGUCUGGCGUCUCGCCUGUUUCUGUGUCAAGUGCCGCCGUGUGCGUGCGUGUGUGUGUGCGUGUGCGCGUGAGCAUCUGCACAUGCACCUGUAGAUACACACCGAGCCUUAAAUUAUGUGGGGGAGGUGCCACCGGGACCCACCGUCCCAUUUUCCAGAUUUUGUAUCCAUGUUCUCGUUCCCUGCCGGCAA